GACGAACGCUGGCGGCGUGCUUAACACAUGCAAGUCGAACGGAAAGGCCCUGCUUUUGUGGGGUGCUCGAGUGGCGAACGGGUGAGUAACACGUGAGUAACCUGCCCUUGACUUUGGGAUAACUUCAGGAAACUGGGGCUAAUACCGGAUAGGAGCUCCUGCUGCAUGGUGGGGGUUGGAAAGUUUCGGCGGUUGGGGAUGGACUCGCGGCUUAUCAGCUUGUUGGUGGGGUAGUGGCUUACCAAGGCUUGGACGGGUAGCCGGCCUGAGAGGGUGACCGGCCACAUUGGGACUGAGAUACGGCCCAGACUCCUACGGGAGGCAGCAGUGGGGAAUAUUGCACAAUGGGCGGAAGCCUGAUGCAGCAACGCCGCGUGCGGGAUGACGGCCUUCGGGUUGUAACCCGCUUUCGCCUGUGACGAAGCGUGAGUGACGGUAAUGGGUAAAGAAGCACCGGCUAACUACGUG
rnacentral:rRNA from 1 species